rnacentral:rRNA from 1 species
CCUACGGGGGGCUGCAGUGGGGAAUAUUGGACAAUGGGGGGAACCCUGAUCCAGCCAUGCCGCGUGUGUGAAGAAGGCCCUCGGGUUGUAAAGCACUUUCAGUGAGGAAGAACGCCUGGUGGUUAAUACCCAUCAGGAAAGACAUCACUCACAGAAGAAGCACCGGCUAACUCCGUGCCAGCAGCCGCGGUAAUACGGAGGGUGCGAGCGUUAAUCGGAAUUACAGGGCGUAAAGCGCGCGUAGGUGGCUUGAUAAGCCGGUUGUGAAAGCCCCGGGCUCAACCUGGGAACGGCAUCCGGAACUGUCAAGCUAGAGUGCAGGAGAGGAAGGUAGAAUUCCCGGUGUAGCGGUGAAAUGCGUAGAGAUCGGGAGGAAUACCAGUGGCGAAGGCGGCCUUCUGGACUGACACUGACACUGAGGUGCGAAAGCGUGGGUAGCAAACAGGAUUAGAUACCCUGGUAGUC